AAAACAUUAUCAUUAAUUUCUAUAAAAGUCUUUACAAGUCCAUCUAAACAAACAAGUCAAGCUAGAUGUUUUUACUGCAAUGCACUUGAACACAUUUAUAUAACUGCAUGUGUUAUAAAUUAAUUACCAAUCUUAUUUAGGAGAAAUAAAUGAAAAGACCUCAAGCCUUUUUUGCAAUAUUAACAUGCAAAUUUUAAUUAUUUAUUUUCUGUUUUACAGCUUUUUAUCUUUUGUAAAAAGGCAGAUGCACAAAACUUCAAAAACGUGUCCAUUAAUAGACUAAUGUAAGUCGAUUUCUGCUGUAUUGCAUAGAUUGCAAAUAUUUACCACUGAAAAUGACAUUAAUGUUUUUCCCCAUCUAGACAAGGCAGUGUUAUUGCCGAAAGCACUGCAGAAUAUAACUAUCCCAACAACAACACCCAAAUACAGUUUCUAAAUAACAAUUUGGGGCAAACGCUUGAAAGAAUAUUAAAUGACUCCGAAUCAUUUCAAAAUCUCAGCGCAGCUCUCAAUGCAUCAAUUGAGGUCACUCGAAUAACCAUGGGCAAAGUUGAAAUAUUGAAUAUUUCACAGGUAAAACCAUUUGUGAACUGUCCAGUCAAUCUUGAAAACUUAACGCAAGAGCUGGACAAUGGAGUAUGGGUGUGUGUGGGACCAUGCAAAGCAAAUCCAGACUUCUGCAAUCAUCAUGGUGAAUGCCAAAAUGCAAUAAAUGGCGCAGUGUGCAACUGUACAAGCUCUUACUUUGAGAAGUACUAUGGAGAUCAGUGCGAGCAGUACAGCAGAGGUCCAGGUUUCUACGCUGUUCUCUUCGGCAGUUUAGCAGCUUUAGCUCUACUCAUCAUCAUUACAGUUGUGAUGGUUGUAGUUUUUCACAGAGCCAGAAG
rnacentral:lncRNA from 1 species